UACGUAGGGGGCAAGCGUUGUCCGGAUUUACUGGGCGUAAAGCGCGUGUAGGCGGCCACGCAGGUCCGUUGUGAAAACUGGAGGCUCAACCUCCAGACGUCGACGGAAACCGUGUGGCUAGAGUCCGGAAGAGGAGAAUGGAAUUCCCGGUGUAGCGGUGAAAUGCGCAGAUAUCGGGAAGAACACCCGUGGCGAAGGCGGUUCUCUGGGACGGUACUGACGCUGAGACGCGAAAGCGUGGGGAGCGAACAGG
rnacentral:rRNA from 1 species